GUGCGUGGAUGAUGGUAUGGGAUGUGUCAUGUGCCCAAUAUGGACCCCUCAUGAUUGGCCUAGUGGACCUAGCGAAGCCCAACACGAGGCCACAGAUGCCCUAGGGUGCCUCCUACAUACGACUUGGGAAGGGCGUGGCCAGGGGAGGGCACAGCCAAAGGCGGGCCACCUCCGCCCAUAGAAUUUCCCAAUAUUCGGGAAGAUUGAGAUUAAAUAGGAAAGAUGGAAAAGUGUAGGAAAAUUAAUAAAGAUUUGCCUAGAAAAAAUAGAUUAAGAUUUAUUAGAAAAUAAAUAGUUUUGCUUGUAAAGAAAGUAGUUGAAGUCUAUAAGGACACUUUCCGUAGUUCCUUAGAGAAUAAGUAUAGAUUGCUUGAAGGUCAAGUCCAAUAGGGACUAUAAAUAUAGGAGCAUUGUAACUAUUCUAAUCAAGCAAGAAAUAAAAAUUUGUUGUUUGUGUGCAUGCCACUAUAAUUUGAGUGUGCACCACUACCCUCUCCAUUUGUGUCGCACACACUAAUUUCACUAUCACACACAAAUUUAAGAGAAAAAUUGUGUACUCUAUGGCCCCAAAAGAGAAAAGUUGCUUCAACAAAUGAAAAAAGGAAAGAAAAAAACCUUACCGGACCUAGUAGGGGAUUGAUACCUUGUCCCCGUCCCCGACUUCACUUAUUUUCCCCGCUCCCCGUCUCCGAUCCCCGGCUCGGGGACAUGUUUCUUCCAUCCCUGUCCCCGAUUGUAGUCUCGGGGCCCCAACAAGUGCCGCAUACCCGCGAGCUGGCACACCCCCGAACCACAUGAUUGGGAGAGCAGUUGUAGUCUGAGGGCCCCAAGCAAGCAUCGGCAAGGGAAUCUGAUACUGUAUCAAGGAUCAUCCGUAUAGACUAGAGCAUUCGCAAGGGAGAAUCAACA
rnacentral:lncRNA from 1 species